UUGAGAGCGGCGAACGGGUGCGUAACACGUUGAUACCUGCCCCUAAGUCAGGGAUAGCCCACUGAAAAGUGGAUUAAUACCGGAUAGUCUCUUCGGAGUAAAAAUUUAUUGCUUAGAGAGGGGGCUGCGGCCUAUCAGCUAGUUGGUGAGGUAAUAGCUCACCAAGGCUAUGACGGGUAACUGGUCUGAGAGGAUGAUCAGUCACAAUGGAACUGAGACACGGUCCAUACUCCUACGGGAGGCAGCAGUGAGGAAUCUUCCACAAUGGACGAAAGUCUGAUGGAGCGACACCGCGUGAAGGAUGAAGGUCUAACGAUUGUAAACUUCUUUUCUGAGGGAGCAUAAUGAGAGUACCUCAGGAAUAAGGGACGGCUAAAUACGUGCCAGCAGCCGCGGUAAUACGUAUGUCCCAAGCAUUACCCGGAAUCACUGGGUGUAAAGGGUUCGUAGGUGGAAAAAUAAGUUAGAUAUGAAAGACCGAAGCUCAACUUCGAGUUUGUGUUUAAAACUGUUUUUCUAGAAUCAGGGAGAGGUAAGCGGAAUUUUAAGUGUAGGGGUGCAAUCCGUAGAUACUUAGAAGAACACCAAAAGCGAAGGCAGCUUACUGGAACUGUAUUGACACUGAGGAACGAAAGCGUGGGUAGCGAAAAGGAUUAGAUACCCUUGUAGUCCACGCCCUAAACGAUGAUAACUAAGUGUUGCGACUUGCUCGCAGUGCUGAAGCUAACGCGAUAAGUUAUCCACCUGAGGAGUACGGUCGCAAGAUUAAAACUCAAAGGAAUAGACGGGGACCCACACAAGCAGUGGAUCACGUGGUUUAAUUCGACAAUAAACGGGAAACCUUACCCAGACUUGACAUCUACCGAAUCUUUUAGAAAUAAGAGAGUGCCUUUAUUGGAACUUAGUGACAGGUGCUGCAUGGUUGUCGUCAGCUCGUGCCUUGAGGUGUUCGGUUAAGUCCGUUAACGAGCGCAACCCAUGUUCUUAGUUAUUAUGUCUAAGAAGACUGCCUUGGUUAACAAGGAGGAAGGUGUGGAUGACGUCAAAUCAGCAUGGCUCUUACGUCUGGGGCUACACACAUGAUACAAUGGUGUAUACAAAGAGUUGCGAUAUGGUAACAUUGAGCUAAUCUCUUAAAAUACAUCUAAGUCCGGAUUGAGGUCUGAAACUCGACCUCAUGAAGUUGGAAUUGCUAGUAAUCGUGAAUCAGAUAUGUCACGGUGAAUAUGUUCCUGGGUCU
rnacentral:rRNA from 1 species